rnacentral:rRNA from 1 species
CACAUGCAAGUCGAACGGUGAAGCCCAGCUUGCUGGGUGGAUCAGUGGCGAACGGGUGAGUAACACGUGAGUAACCUGCCCCUGACUCUGGGAUAAGCCUUGGAAACGAGGUCUAAUACCGGAUACGUGACGCUCAGGCAUCUGAUGCGUCUGGAAAGAUUUAUCGGUCAGGGAUGGACUCGCGGCCUAUCAGCUUGUUGGUGGGGUAACGGCCUACCAAGGCGACGACGGGUAGCCGGCCUGAGAGGGCGACCGGCCACACUGGGACUGAGACACGGCCCAGACUCCUACGGGAGGCAGCAGUGGGGAAUAUUGCACAAUGGGCGCAAGCCUGAUGCAGCGACGCCGCGUGAGGGAUGAAGGCCUUCGGGUUGUAAACCUCUUUCAGCAGGGAAGAAGCGCAAGUGACGGUACCUGCAGAAGAAGCGCCGGCUAACUACGUGCCAGCAGCCGCGGUAAUACGUAGGGCGCAAGCGUUGUCCGGAAUUAUUGGGCGUAAAGAGCUCGUAGGCGGUUUGUCGCGUCUGCUGUGAAAACUCGAGGCUCAACCUCGGGCUGCAGUGGUAC